UACGGAGGGGGCUAGCGUUGUUCGGAAUUACUGGGCGUAAAGCGCGCGCAGGCGGUCGUUCAAGUCGAGUGUGAAAGCCCCCGGCUCAACUGGGGAGGGUCACUCGAUACUGAUCGACUUGAAGGCAGGAGAGGGAAGCGGAAUUCCCGGUGUAGUGGUGAAAUGCGUAGAUAUCGGGAGGAACACCAGUGGCGAAGGCGGCUUCCUGGCCUGCUCUUGACGCUGAGGCGCGAAAGCUAGGGUAGCAAACGGG
rnacentral:rRNA from 1 species